AUUGAACGCUGGCGGCAGGCCUAACACAUGCAAGUCGAACGAGUGGCGGACGUGUGAGUAAUGUCUGGGAAACUGCCCGAUGGAGGGGGAUAACUACUGGAAACGGUAGCUAAUACCGCAUACCAUCGGAUGUGCCCAGAUGGGAUUAGCUAGUAGGUGGGGUAACGGCUCACCUAGGCGACGAUCCCUAGCUGGUCUGAGAGGAUGACCAGCCACACUGGAACUGAGAAACGGGCCAGACUCCUACGGGAGGCAGCAGUGGGGAAUAUUGCACAAUGGGCGCAAGCCUGAUGCAGCCAUGCCGCGUGUAUGAAGAAGGCCUUCGGGUUGUAAAGUACUUGCAGCGAGGAGGCGUUACUAGAAGAAGAAGCAACGGCUAACUCAGUGCCAGCAGCCGCGGUAAUUC
rnacentral:rRNA from 1 species